rnacentral:rRNA from 1 species
AUUGAACGCUGGCGGCAGGCCUAACACAUGCAAGUCGAGCGGAUGAAGGGAGCUUGCUCCUGGAUUCAGCGGCGGACGGGUGAGUAAUGCCUAGGAAUCUGCCUGGUAGUGGGGGAUAACGUCCGGAAACGGGCGCUAAUACCGCAUACGUCCUGAGGGAGAAAGUGGGGGAUCUUCGGACCUCACGCUAUCAGAUGAGCCUAGGUCGGAUUAGCUAGUUGGUGGGGUAAAGGCCUACCAAGGCGACGAUCCGUAACUGGUCUGAGAGGAUGAUCAGUCACACUGGAACUGGGGCACGGUCCCAGCUCCUACGGGAGGCAGCAGGGGGGAAUUUUGGACAAUUGGCGAAAACCUGGUCCAGCCCAGCCCGGGGGGGUGAGAAGGGCCUCCGGUUUGAAAAGCCCUUUAGGUGGGAGGAAGGGCAGUAAGUUAAUACCUUGCUGUUUUGACGUUACCAACAGAAUAAGCACCGGCUAACUUCGUG